rnacentral:rRNA from 1 species
GAUGAACGCUGGCGGCGUGCCUAAUACAUGCAAGUCGAGCGAACAGAUGAGGAGCUUGUUCCUCUGACGUUAGCGGCGGACGGGUGAGUAACACGUGGAUAACCUACCUAUAAGACUGGGAUAACUUCGGGAAACCGGAGCUAAUACCGGAUAAUAUAUUGAACCGCAUGGUUCAAUAGUGAAAGACGGUUUUGCUGUCACUUAUAGAUGGAUCCGCGCCGCAUUAGCUAGUUGGUAAGGUAACGGCUUACCAAGGCAACGAUGCGUAGCCGACCUGAGAGGGUGAUCGGCCACACUGGAACUGAGACACGGUCCAGACUCCUACGGGAGGCAGCAGUAGGGAAUCUUCCGCAAUGGGCGAAAGCCUGACGGAGCAACGCCGCGUGAGUGAUGAAGGUCUUCGGAUCGUAAAACUCUGUUAUUAGGGAAGAACAAAUGUGCAAGUAACUAUGCACGUCUUGACGGUACCUAAUCAGAAAGCCACGGCUAACUACGUG